UGCUCAGCAAACCGAUCAUAGCAACCUCUGAGAUUUCAAACCGCUAUCUAAUUUUUGCUCUUCAUUGUAAUUUUUUCGAACAGAUUAUUAAUCCUUAAGGUUGCUUCAGGCGGAACCCCAUUAAUGGUGAAAGAAAGUUGUUGCUUUUGUGCUACUGUCAACAAAGAUCAGUUGAGCAUCUUGAUGUUAUAUAUCAUCCCAGGUGGACAUACGAAAGCAAAUUAUUCUAGAUUCUGCACACAGAGUUAAUUUAGUCGACGUCUACGCUAAGGAUUGGAGAUAUUUGGAUACACAGUUGCAAAGAGAUGUAUCCCAGUGCGAACGGGUUAUCAACCAUGGAUUCGAAAGCUCCUUCUAUGAGUACCAGCAAACCUAGCUAAGAGAGACCCCCAUUUAAUCAUAUUCAGUCUAAUAAUCUUGCC